CUUUACCAACUUCCAUAGGGUUAAAUAAUCCAUUACUUUAAUUGGUUAUCGCUUGGUGGUGAUACGUUAUGGCAUCCUCUGAUGAAGAGGGUGAGAUUUUGCCACAGUAUGUGUCGAAUUAUCAUUUUGUUGAUGACAGUGGUGCACCGGUCUCGUUUUCGGUUUUGCCAGUCCGGUGGGAUGUGAAUGAUGUAUCGACCAACUUGGAAGGAACGCAUGUUGCUUUGCGUGGGACUUGCAGUAAUGGAAUUCAGAAAAUUUACCUGCCGGUUAUGGGUUGGAAGUUUGAACUUUCUUAUGUGCAGCCAGAAAUAUCUGUUUUCUGUAAGGCCAAGAAAUGGGUUAUGCUUCAAAAGCCAAGAAAGGUUUUCGAGCAAGUAGUCAGGAAAAUCUUGAUCACUGUUCACUGGCUUCAUUUCAUUAAGAAGAAUCCGAAUGCAUCUGAGAAAUCCGUGUGGAAACACUUGUUGAAGACCUUCAGCACAUAUGAGGAUCCACCAUCUGAGAAUGAUCUAUUGGAUCACAAGGGAUUAAUUAUGGAAGCAGCAAGAAGGGAUAAAGAUUUAAAAGCAUCCAGGGUAUGAAUUUUAUUUCGGGCAUAUCUCGUGUUUAAUCUUAAGAUUGUGAUGGGUUUUCUUAUUAACAUUCUUUGUGCUUCAAUUUACAAGAUUAUAUUAAAAAAAAAAAACCUAUGCGUUGAAUUAAUCUGAAGUUAACUCUUAUUUAAAAUAUGUUGUGGAUUUUAUGUUCUCACAAAGCAAUGUGGAUACACCUAUUGUUUUUGUGGACCCAGCCUGAUGUCUGAUGUUUGGUUUUUCAAAGAUUAAAUGCAUUAUCAGUUUAAGGCAGAAUGAUCAUGCUUGUCUGAAAAAAGAAGCCAUAAGGUUUGAUGCAAACUCUAGAAGCCAUCUGCUAACCUUUUUAUUACCAUUAAGUAACAUAAGGGAGAGUAUUUAAAGACUGAAAUUCUGGUAAACAUCCAUUAUGUUUGAGCAUUUGAGUUUUCAGUUAAGUCACAAAGAACCAGAAUAUGUGAAAAUAGUAUAUUGACCAAAGUAGAGAAGGUACGACUAACUUUUUCUUGAUCUGCAGCAACAUAGAUUCGGAGAUUGAUUGACUGUUCUUAUUACGUUAUUAUGUUGCUACUCCCAAUACAAUCUUCACUUUGUUGGCUUUGGUAUAUUAUUUUUAGCUUGGAGUUGUUGCCUUGUUAGAUUAAGAUUGUUAAUUUGUUAUUUCCUGUGAGCAUAUGUGUGUGUUAACUGAUAUGUGAAGGGUAUUUGAUGGUUAAUCUUUUGAGCAGUCUUUCUGUACCUUUAUUGGGAAAAGUGAGGGUGGUGAAACUUUUUAUGAGGUUAGUGUUCACAGCCAACUCUUGCUUGAAUAUUAUCUCUGUCUGACUGUUCCAUUCCCUCCCUUCUAAUUUUCCAUUGUAUAAUUCUUUUCUUUAAUUUUUUUUUCAAGAUUUUAAAGAAAAUUUCCUUGCUUGAUUAACAGGGUGUUCAAACAAUUAUUGAUGAUGAUGGCAGUGAAAAGGAUUUUUUUGAUACAGCUUGUGCAAUUUGUGACAAUGGUGGUGACAUUUUGUGGUAUGCUAAUUCAUUAUUUCAAUUUUUUUUUUCACUAGUUUUACCAACUUUAUACAACUCCAUUUUGCAUCAAUUUUGUAUGUAAUAUGUAUGCAUUUCUAACUACUUGAUACUUCUUUUCUCUGAAAUUUGCAUUUAGGUGUGGAAUGUGAAGUGGAACAUGGUGAAAUUACUCUGAAAUCUUGUGAUAAAUUGAGAUGGUUUCUGGCUUCAGUUAAUUAUUCUUUGGCACUUCCUAUAUAGGCAUUGAUACAUUUUUGUUUUGAAUCAUGGGCUUGGUUGGAGCAUACAACCAGCAUCAUUACAUUUGUAAUUUUAGAAAGUGGCAUUUAAAUAACAAAUAUAACAUUGCACCUGGAUUUUUUUUAAGAAUAUACCAUGUGAUAUAUAUGAUAAAUUGUAUGAUGCUUUAGUAUCCAAGUAAAAGAUGACAAUAUACAAUUUCUGAGAAAGUGGCCAGGUUACAGCCUGUUCUUAUUUGGCCCUAAAAUUGUGAUAUGCUGUGCAGUGUACUCAAAUAAUAGUGGGCAUGCUUAGAAUAUUAAUUGUUGACAGUAUAAAAAUUUUUUUUCCAUUAGUGGGUUUUUUUGUACUGACCUGAUAUUUUAGCCCAAAGUUUUCUGUAAAAGCAUGCAAGGGGAGGGGCGUGUGGGAAAGGACCACACUUGCUUCUAACAAGGUUGAAGAUUUGGUGCAGUGCACAAUCAAGAAAUAUGAGCACCUUCAAACGUAACAAAGUUGAAUUCAUUCUCCCAUUUUCGGUGCCCACCUGAAAUUGUGUAAAAUAUGAUAAAACUUCAGAAUUACUUAAGACUCUUAUAAUUUAUUUCAAAUUUUUGGGAUGCAGGAAACGAAUGAAGUUCAAGACAUGAAAGUUGUAACGGGAGGUGCCUGAGAUCAUUUCACCCAACUGUUGCUGACGGGGUGGAAUCUCAAUGUGCAUCCCUUGGCUAUAGAAAUAAGGCUGAAUAUGAAGCAAUUCAAAUUUUUAUGUGUGAAAAUUGUAUUUAUCAGCAGCAUCAAUGCUUUGCUUGUGGCAGAUUGGGCUUUUCUGAUAGAUCUUCGAGUCAAGAGGUCUUCCCUUGUGCUUCUGCUACUUGUGGCCAUUUCUAUCACCCACAGUGUGUUGCAAGACUGCUUCAUACUGGCAAUGAAAUUCAAGCAGAAGAACUUAGAGCCAAAAUCAGUACAGGGGAGUCUUUUGUUUGUCCUGCUCAUAAAUGUUUUAUUUGUAAGGAAUGUGAAGAUGCUGAUGUUGAUGCAUUGCAGUUUGCAAUGUGUAGACGUUGUCCUAAAGCAUAUCACAGGAAAUGUUUGCCUAGGGGCAUAGUUCAUGCACAUGAAAAUAAUUUGGCCAGGGCUUGGGAGGGUCUUUUGCCAAAUCGAAGGAUUCUGAUAUACUGCAUGGAGCAUAAGAUUGAUAGGCAACUAAAGACUCCUGCUAGAGACCAUAUAAUAUUUCCUAAAGUGGAAAGGAGGCACACAUUACAGUUGAUGCCAAGACAAAGAAAACUUGUGAUAUCAAAGAGAACUGAGGUUUCUGAUGGUUUUGCUGUAGAUAGAACUGCUGUAAAGAAGCCAAAGCUGAUCAAAAAGCUCCACGAUUGUGUUGAAAUUGGCAAUUCUUCCGAAACAGAGAAAAGAUACCCCGCACAUGAUUUUGAACCUUUGAAAAAAUCAAAUAUAAUUCAUCCAGAUAAACAAGCGUUGAAGAAGAAUAUUUGUUCUGUCUCCGCCAGUUCAUCUACAGUAGACACAAGAAACCUGCUUUCUGGCAAUAACUCAUUGGUUAACUCAGGAUUUUAUCCAUCGAAGUUUAAACAGCAGAAUAUUGUUAGCAGUAAAAUGAAGAAUUCUAUCCCAGAUAAGCCAGCCAUGAAAAAAAUAAGUAGUUCAUUGCCUUCAGUUGGUGCUGAAACCAAAAAACGAAUUCUGAUGCUAAUGGAAGAUGUCUCUUCCUCAUUUGAUGCUGAAGAAUUUAAGAAAAGGAAUGUCCCAAUUACACUUCUAUACUGUUCCAGAAAUGCACUGGAAAAGUCAUUUACACUAGGAUUGGUGGAGGCUUCUGUAAAGGCUGUGCGAACUGCAUUACAGAAUCUGGAAAAAGGAUGUAGUAUUGAGGAUGCAAAAACUGUUUGUCAACCUGAGAUUCUCAAACAGAUUUUCAGAUGGCAGAAAAAGCUUGGAAUCUACCUCACACCUUUUCUCCAUGGAGCACGCUAUACAUCUUUUGGUCGCCAUUUUACACAAGUAGGGAAGCUUAAGGAGAUUGUUGAUCGGCUCCAGUGGUAUGUUCAAGAUGGUGAUAUGGUAAGUUUAUAACUUCUUGGAUUUAAUGCAAGUCUCUAAUUUUAUUUGUUGGCAUAAUGUUAAUUUGUGUCAAUGAGCAUUCUAAUGAAAUGCCCUGAUGCAAAUUCAUUUAUUCUAUUGAAAUGCCCUAAUGCAAAUUCAAAUCUUCCAUGUUUUCUUGACAUUGCCUAACAUCUUUCUCAUUUUAUUGUUUCGAUAAUUGUUUUUUGUUCUCUAAAUGUUUGAAUUGGCUGUAGUUGCUAUUGUUAAUCUGAUUAUUGGCUUCUUCAUGCCUGGGUGCAACUUCCACUUAACAGAUAGUCGAUUUCUGCUGCGGUUCUAAUGAAUUCAGUUGUCUGCUGAAAGAAAAACUUGAACAAACUGGAAAAUCAUGCUUAUUCAGAAACUAUGAUAUUAUUCAAGCUAAGGUACUAAUGACCUCUCUUGUAAUGGUGGACUGGUGCAUUUUUAUAAAAAAUUCUCUUGGGAUACAUCUGGUCAGUGCAUUUGGCAAUCCCAGUUCCUGGUCAAUGCUGUGAUGUAGCUGGAGAUCAUUAGUACAGAUCUUUUUCUGAAAAUAUUAUCAUAAAGCAUAUAUAUAUGUAUAUAUCUUCUUUAGCGUUGCUUAUUUUAUUUCUCAUUUAACAUCCCUAUCCUCCUCUUUUCGAGGGAGUGAAGGACCAAAAUGUCUCUUGGCCUUUAUUUGGUAAAGCUUCAUUUGCAACAUUAUUAAGGAAAAUAUGGCUUUGCAAAGAGUUGAAUGUCAACAUAAAUUUGUGUACCAAACCUCAAGCUCUUCAAGUUAAAAAAUUGCAAAAUUUCUGGGUAAAUGUCCUUUUCAUCAAUAAAACAAAACAGGUUUCAUUUUAGGAAUUAUUUCUGUAUUGUCUUUUAUAUCAAUUUUCCCAAUAUUUUGGCCUUUUUUUGGUGAGCCUCCUUUUGCAAAGGCUGAAUGUUGACAAUUUAGAGAAGCAAAGUACUGCUGAUCCAGAGCGUUGCUGAGUCAAGUGAAUCAUUGAGCCCAAGCUCAACUCGAUUCAAAAAACUCAAGACUUUAAACUUUACUCAAUUUGACUCAACCAAGCUUUAUCUUUUCUUCCUCAAGCUUGACUCAAUUAGAUAUUUAAGAUACUCGAGUUUAACUCGACUCGUUUAUCAUUAUAAAUUUAAUUGAAAAUUAUUAUUAACUUCAAAUCAAAACUUGAACAAGCUUGAGUGAGCUCGAAUUAGCAUUUGUAAUAUAUAUUUAGGUUAAAAUGAUAAAUAUUAUAAUUUAUUUUUUAAAUAUAAUAUGUAAUAUAUAAUAUUUUAAAAUUAUAUAAAAGGAUAAACACAUGAUUAGACUCUUAAGCUACUCAUAGUCAAGUAUUAUACAGUAUUCAAAUUCAGCCUAAAUUGUUACCAAAUGACUAGAUAAAAAGUGAGUCAAUUUUUAGUAUUUUGCAAGUGGAGUUCAAGUGGUUCAUGGAUGGCUUGACUCAUUUGUUUGAUAAGAAUGUAUGUAAACAUCAAAAAGAAACUUGAUUCUUUUGUGUUUGAUGUGCUCGUAUUUAACUUUAAUUUGUAUGCAACCAUUGACCUAACUUCUUAGAUGUCCAUUUGGCAGAACGAUUUUUGUUUUGAGAAGAAAGAUUGGUUGAAGGUUGGUUUAGGCGAAUUACCUGAUGGUGCACGACUGAUAAUGGGGUUGAAUCCGCCCUUUGGUGUGAAAGCAUCUCUUUCUAAUAUUUUCAUCAAGAAGGCUCUUGAGUUUAAGCCAAAGCUCAUUGUUCUUAUCACUCCAAAAGAAACUGAAAGACUAGACAAAAACGGUGCAUAUGAUUUAAUUUGGGAGGAUGAUGCAUUACUUUCAGGCAAGUUGAUGUGAAUGACAAUCAAAUGGAGAGUUGGAACCUAAGCCCACCUCCACUGUAUCUAUGGAGCCGUACUGAUUGGACUGUCAGGCACAUGUCAGUAGCACAACAAUGUGGCCACAUAUGAAAG
rnacentral:misc_RNA from 1 species